rnacentral:rRNA from 1 species
CAAUGUGCGCAGGGGGACGCCUGUGUUCAUUACUGUGACUAAGAAAGGGCGACUAAAGCGUCCAGCGACAUGAAUUAGAAAGCAUGGGAUAACAAAGGAGCAGCCUAUAGGCUAUUCGCUUUGUUGGUUUUACAGGUCUGUGGGAGAUUAUGGGUGCGCAUGACAAGCGGUUCGGGGUUCGUCCCCMGCCUCCGCGGUUGUUCGUCGGCUCCCAGUGGGUCGCGGCGCCGUGGCUUGUGUUCCAGGAAUGAAGGAGGGUUGUUCGGGGGAGAACGUACUUGAGCGUGAGAGGUGAAUUCUAAGACCGCUCAAGGACAAACUACAGCGAAGGCAUUCUCCAAGGAUACCUUCCUCAUCAAGAACCAAAGUGUGGGGAUCGAAGAUGAUUAGAGACCAUUGUAGUCC